rnacentral:rRNA from 1 species
GACGAACGCUGGCGGCGUGCUUAACACAUGCAAGUCGAACGAAGAGCGAUGGAAGCUUGCUUCUCUCAAUCUUAGUGGCGAACGGGUGAGUAACGCGUAAUCAACCUGCCCUUCAGAGGGGGACAACAGUUGGAAACGACUGCUAAUACCGCAUACGAUCUAAUCUCGGCAUCGAGGAUAGAUGAAAGGUGGCCUCUACAUGUAAGCUAUCACUGAAGGAGGGGAUUGCGUCUGAUUAGCUAGUUGGAGGGGUAACGGCCCACCAAGGCGAUGAUCAGUAGCCGGUCUGAGAGGAUGAACGGCCACAGUGGGACUGAGACACGGCCCAGACUCCUACGGGAGGCAGCAGUGGGGAAUCUUCCGCAAUGGACGAAAGUCUGACGGAGCAACGCCGCGUGAGUGAUGACGGCCUUCGGGUUGUAAAGCUCUGUUAAUCGGGACGAAAGGCCUUCUUGCGAAUAGUGAGAAGGAUUGACGGUACCGGAAUAGAAAGCCACGGCUAACUACGUG